rnacentral:rRNA from 1 species
UACGUAGGGUGCAAGCAUUAUCCGGAGUGACUGGGCGUAAAGAGUUGCGUAGGUGGUUUGUUAAGUGAAUAGUGAAAUCUGGCGGCUCAACCGUACAGACUUUUAUUCAAACUGGCAGACUCGAGAAUGGUAGAGGUAACUGGAAUUUCUUGUGUAGGAGUGAAAUCCGUAGAUAUAAGAAGGAACACCAAUGGCGUAGGCAGGUUACUGGACCAUUUCUGACACUAAGGCACGAAAGCGUGGGGAGCGAACCGG